AGCAGCAGCAGAAGCACUCCCACACUCAAACACGCCUGGGCUUUAUUGAGCACAGUUGGCACAAUCUGAUCCAAUGAUGUCAUUCUCGUGAAUGGGCCGGCAAUAUGGGGAUCAGCAAGUUUCUGAGAUGAGAAAUGGUGGGGACAGACAUCAUGUGUAGAGGCAGAUAUGGGAGUCAUGAUGGCCGAAAGCAAAGAUUCUCACAUGGAAAAGGAAGGAAAAACAUGUGAAGAUGAUUGAAAUACAAGAGCUGCAAAGAAACACUGAAGACCUCAUGACUGGCUACAUCACUCAGCAUCAUUAGCAAAUGAUAAGAAAUCAACCACGACAGUGGUUCGGUAUGAGAAUGGAAGCCAUGGCGUCCCUCGAUAAUGAAGAAUAUAAAUGUAACAUGAAAAAAAAUCACAGAUGUGUCACAUCACAUGCUUGGGCUGAUCUUCCCUCGCUGUGAUCCUCCACCUUGAUGAAUGUAAUGACUUUAUUACCAAAUUAUCCCAAUAUGCCUGUGAAAAAUCCAGAUAAUCUUUUAAUGGCCUGAGUUGCCGACUGUCUCAUUGCACAGCUCAUAAAUCUGGGAGCGGAAAAAGAAAGCGCCCCUCAGCAGC